rnacentral:rRNA from 1 species
GAUGAACGCUAGCGGCAGGCUUAAUACAUGCAAGUCGAGGGGCAGCAGGGUGUAGCAAUACAUCGCUGGCGACCGGCAAACGGGUGCGGAACACGUACACAACUUUCCUUUAAGUGGGGGAUAGCCCAGAGAAAUUUGGAUUAAUACCCCGUAAUAUUAUGAAGUGGCAUCAUUUAUAAUUAAAGCUCCGGCGCUUGAAGAUGGGUGUGCGGCUGAUUAGGUAGNGGUCGGGGUAACGGCCCACCACGCCUACGAUCAGUAACUGGUGUGAGAGCACGACCAGUCACACGGGCACUGAGACACGGGCCCCGAUCCUACGGGAGGCAGCAGUAAGGAAUAUUGGUCAAUGGACGCAAGUCUGAACCAGCCAUGCCGCGUGAAGGAUGAAGGUCCUCUGGAUUGU